GUGGGGAAUCUUGCGCAAUGGGCGAAAGCCUGACGCAGCCAUGCCGCGUGAAUGAUGAAGGUCUUAGGAUUGUAAAAUUCUUUCACCGGGGACGAUAAUGACGGUACCCGGAGAUGAAGCUCCGGCUAACUUCGUGCCAGCAGCCGCGGUAAUACGACGGGGGCUAGCGUUGCUCGGAAUUACUGGGCGUAAAGGGCGCGUAGGCGGACAGCUUAGUCAGAGGUGAAAGCCCAGGGCUCAACCUUGGAAUUGCCUUUGAUACUGGCUGUCUUGAGUUUGGGAGAGGUGAGUGGAACUCCGAGUGUAGAGGUGAAAUUCGUAGAUAUUCGGAAGAACACCAGUGGCGAAGGCGACUCACUGGCCCAAUACUGACGCUGAGGCGCGAAAGCGUGGGGAGCAAACAGGAUUAGAAACCCCAGUAGUCC
rnacentral:rRNA from 1 species